rnacentral:lncRNA from 1 species
AUUGAAGGGCCCUCCAGGGUCCCUUGGCCCCCCUGGGGAUGCUGGACCUCCUGUGAGUAAAUGUAUAACUGUAUACUGUAUGUCAGUAUCCCAACAUUGCUCAUUAUUAGACUCUACUUAUUGACACAUCACUCUCAUAAUGCUUGUUCACUGACAGCAGAGAUUGUUUGUAUUCCAGGGACCCCCGGGAAUUACUGGAAAACAAGGACGAAAAGGAGAUGGAGGAAAAAUCGUAGGGUGGUCCUGGACCAACCGGGAUGCCCGGGCCUCCAGGAAGAACUGGGAGUGAUGGGAUUGAUGGUAUAAAUUCUGAUGAUGGCCCUGCAGGACCACCUGGGGAACAGGUAGGACACAUUUAACAAAGACUGAAGAGUUUUCAUGUGUUAUACAUCAAUAGAGACUGUUCCAGUGUCAGUAUUGUUGACAGAGCUCUCUACUUGUACUAACAGGGUCUCCAGGGUUACAGAGGAGAGAAGGGCAGCAAAGGGGAGCUGGGUGAGUGGGUA